AGAGUUUGAUCCUGGCUCAGGACGAACGCUGGCGGCGUGCUUAACACAUGCAAGUUGAGCGAGGAUGGUUCGAGAGACUUAUGUUGAUUGGAACAUUCAAGCAGCGGACGGGUGAGUAAAGCACAAGGACUUGUCCGAAAGAGAGGGACACCUGCGGGAAACCGGAGCUAAUACCUCAUAAGCCGGAAGGUGAAAAGCAGAGAUGCGCUUUUGGAGAGACUUGUGUCCUAUCAGGCAGUUGGUGAGGUAACGGCUCACCAAACCGAAGACGGGUAGCCGGACUGAGAGGUCGACCGGCCACAUUGGAACUGAGAGACGGUCCAGACUCCUACGGGAGGCAGCAGUGGGGAAUAUUGGGCAAUGGGCGCAAGCCUGACCCAGCGACGCCGCGUGAGGGAAGACAGCCUUCGGGUUGUAAACCUCUGUUGCAGGGGAAGAAGGAAGUGACGGUACCCUGCGAGGAAGCUCCGGCUAACUACGUGCCAGCAGCCGCGGUAAUACGUAGGGAGCGAGCGUUGUCCGGAAUUACUGGGCGUAAAGGGCGCGUAGGCGGCGCUUCAAGUCGUCUGUCAAAAGCCGAGGCUCAACCUCGGCGCGCAGACGAAACUGGAGAGCUUGAGAAGCAGAGAGGCAAACAGAAUUCCUGGUGUAGCGGUGAAAUGCGUAGAUAUCAGGAAGAAUACCAGUGGCGAAGGCGGUUUGCUGGCUGCAUACUGACGCUGAAGCGCGAAAGCCAGGGGAGCAAACGGGAUUAGAUACCCCGGUAGUCCUGGCAGUAAACGAUGUAUGCUGGGUGUGGGACUAGCGAUAGUUCCGUGCCGAAGUUAACGCGAUAAGCAUACCGCCUGGGGAGUACGGUCGCAAGAUUGAAACUCAAAGGAAUUGACGGGGGCCCGCACAAGCGGUGGAGCACGUGGUUUAAUUCGAUGCAAACCGAAGAACCU
rnacentral:rRNA from 1 species